GUUAUUAUCCCAACACACUACAGCCAAAUGAUGAUCAUGUUCUGAUAAAUUAAAUCUAAAUGUUUCUUUUCAAAUCUGUCGACAAUAUAGUUACUGUACGUUUAUAUAUUUCCAGCUAAUCCGUAAUCCUUCUCGGAAGUAACAGAUGGAACGUGCCCUUGGACAAAGGGGAUGCAAUUCUAAUCUGUACAUGCACAAUAUGGACUGAAUAUCUGAUACACCAUCUAUCGUUGAUAUAUCGAUGUAUAAAUUAACUGUCAUUUUAUUGCUACUUGAGCUAACAAAUCCAUUGGUAUAUUUGUGUCAAGUGCACCUCUGUAAUCGAUUCCUUUUCUUUCUGUAUAAUUAAGUAUGGAUUUGUGCUACAUAAUUGAGAAAUGUGUGGCUACGGACAGAACAUUUUGUUAG